GGGGGGGGGGGGGGGGGGGGGGGGGGGGGGGGGGGGGGGGGGGGGGGGGGGGGGGGGGGGGGGGGGGGGGGCGGCCGGUCCCGGUGCCGGCAGUGCCCGUCCCGGCGAGCCGGGGCCGCGACCGGGCGGGCCCGGGGUGCUGAACAGCCUGGGGGAGCCCGGGGGCUGCUCUCGGGGGGCUUGGGGCGGUUUAAGGGUAGAGCAGCGCUUCUUGCCUCACUGUUCCCUCCUUUUCUCCCUGCUCCCCGUUCCCCUUCUCUUCUGCUCCCCUCCAUCUCUCCCUGUUCUCUGCUCCCCUCUCCCUGUUCUCUGCUCUUCUCUCCCCUGUUCUCUGCCCUUCUCUCCCCUGUUCUCUGCUCCCUUCUCUCCUGUUCUCUGCUCUUCUCUCCCCUGUUCUCUGCUCUUCUCUCCCCUGUUCUCUGCCCUUCUCUCCCCUGUUCUCUGCUCCCCUCUCCCUGUUUUCUGCUUUUCUCUCUCUUGUUUUCUGCUUUUCUCUCUCCUGUUCUCUGCUCUUCUCUCCCGUUCUCUGCUCAUCUUUCCCUGUUCUCUGCUUUUCUCUCUCCUGUUCUCUGCGCUUCUCUCCCGUUCUCUCUUCUGUUCCCCUUCUUCUCUCCCUGCUGCCUUCCAUCUCUCCCUGCUGUUCUCUGCUCUUCUCUCUCCUGUUCCCCUUCUCCCCUCCCUGCUUCCCUUCUUCUUUCCCUGCUCCCUUCUCUGUGGAUCUUCAUCGUUGUGUUAGGCAGUUAAUUCCCGCUCCAGCUGGAAUGCUCCCGUGGCUGUCUCUCCCAAAUGCAGAUGCGAGUUUGUUGUAACUCCUCUCUUUAGCAGAUUGCCUGCACGUACGGUGGUGUAAAUGCGUAUCUGGGAGUUUAAGGAUGGGCAGAUAACAGCUGUUUGCAUGAGUUAUCGUUUCUUUUAGUUGGUAUUUUCCCUCCCUGGAAUAAGAAUGGGAGCGCCGCUGCCACGUGCUAUUUCCACUUCAUCUGCAUUCUGUGUUUCUCAGCAUCAGUGCAGAGCUGCCUGUUUGCUUUUGAUGCAGUUCAGGGUUGUGAUGAAAGUUAAUAUUUCUACUCCAGCUGUGGUUAUAGUGCUCAGUCUUGACUGUUUAAAAAUAAAGCAUGAUUUUUAUUCAUAUUUUUGCUUUAGAAGUUUUUGCUGAAGUAAUUAUGCUAUUAAAUAUAUUUUAUAACUUUUAUAGACAAUUCUGCCAUCAAAA
rnacentral:lncRNA from 12 species